AGAGUUUGAUCCUGGCUCAGAACGAACGCUGGCGGCAGGCUUAACACAUGCAAGUCGAACGAACACUUCGGUGUUAGUGGCAGACGGGUGAGGAACACGUGGGAACAUUCCUUUCAGUUCGGAAUAACUCAGGGAAACUUGAGCUAAUACCGCAUACGCCCUGAGGGGGAAAGCGGGGGAUUCUUCGGAACCUCGCGCAAUUGGAGCGGCCGAUGUCAGAUUAGCUUGUUGGUGAGGUAAAGGCUCACCAAGGCGACGAUCUGUAGCGGGUCUGAGAGGAUGAUCCGCCACACUGGGACUGAGACACGGCCCAGACUCCUACGGGAGGCAGCAGUGGGGAAUUUUGGACAAUGGGGGCAACCCUGAUCCAGCCAUGCCGCGUGAGUGAAGAAGGCCUUCGGGUUGUAAAGCUCUUUCAGCCGGGAAGAAAACGCACGCUCUAACAUAGCGUGUGGAUGACGGUACCGGACCAAGAAGCACCGGCUAACUACGUGCCAGCAGCCGCGGUAAUA
rnacentral:rRNA from 1 species